rnacentral:rRNA from 1 species
AAACGACUCUCGGCAACGGAUAUCUCGGCUCUCGCAUCGAUGAAGAACGUAGCGAAAUGCGAUACUUGGUGUGAAUUGCAGAAUCCCGUGAACCAUCGAGUCUUUGAACGCAAGUUGCGCCCAAAGCCUUCGGGCUGAGGGCACGUCUGCCUGGG